UGCGUGCAUGAGCGAUGUGUGCGUAGAUGCUACUGUCAUGGCAUGAAAAUCACAGGUGUAACUAAUAACUCAAAUGAAGGCUCCGUUCAAUUAAGUGUCCCAGUAAGUCAUUCCAGUGAGCCAGCAUGCACAAUAUUGUGGCUCCUGGAACUCUUCACCUAGAUGGAAUGCAGCCCUUUUUUAAAGUUUGAGGAGUUGCCAGUGGAGUUAGAGUGACCUUGAGCCUGGGAGCCUGAGGGCAGGGCCAGAGGGGACACCAGCGGUGGCUGCACUUUGCUGAGGAUCUUGGAGCAGAGACGAAGGCAGUGGGUGAGUUCCCCAAGGCCCAGCGCCUGCAGGUGGCAGGUCAGAGCUGCCACCAUGCGCAACAGCAGCUGAGGAAGAUGCUCUGUCUGGAUCUCUAUGUACGUCUCCUAAACAUUUUGGAAAACACAAAAGUGAAGGCCCAGACAGGCAAGUGUUGGACUGGACUGACCUGCUGAGGUGUGUAUGGUCUUUGCUGAAUGGACUCUGGUUUUGGAGGUCCAACUCUGUUCGGCACUGCGUGUAUAGAG